rnacentral:rRNA from 1 species
UGCGUAGGCGGUUUGGUAAGUCAGAUGUGAAAUUCCUGGGCUCAACCGAGGAACUGCAUUUGAUACUGCCAGACUAGAGUACUGGAGAGGAGACUGGAAUUUACGGUGUAGCAGUGAAAUGCGUAGAUAUCGUAAGGAAGGCCAGUGGCGAAGGCGAGUCUCUGGACAGUAACUGACGCUGAGGCACGAAGGCGUAGGGGAGCAAACG